GGCAGUGGGAGGCGGGGCCCAGUCGGAGAGCGGGGCGGAUUUGGGCGGGUGAGGUGAGUCUCCAGUCGCCGGAGGCAGAGGCUGGGCCCCACUGCUCGGAGACCCCAUGUUUGGGGAGCCCAGAGCGUUCCCGGCAGGGCCCUGGGGCCCGGGGGACGGCCCGCCAUGCCAAUCAGGAGGGGGCGCGUUUUCCCUUCCCAGGCAGAAAGGCGUCCUCCCUCUCCUCCUCCCCCCAGCGCAGAAUCCUCCCCACACCUCCCUCGGCCCCGCAGGGGAAAUCGGCCUGCCCCUACGGAAAUCCCGUUUCUUUAUACACCCGGUCCUGGCUGGGCGGUGUCUUCCCCGUGGAAGAGAGGGUCCGGGAGGUCCGUGGGGCGGAACAGUCCGAGGGCUUCGGGAGUCAGCCCGGGUGGAUUUGUUUCGUGGCUCUCGUUGCUGGCUGGGACGGCCGUGUGCCCGUGUUGUUCCGGAGAUCGAGGCCAACGGAUGCCGUACUCUGUCCUCGCCGGGUGCUCAGUGAGGACCCACAGCUGGGCAGGGACCCUGGGAGGCCCCUGAGCAAGACUUGGAGGGACGCCCUUGUGCCCCCUGAGCACGUGGGGAAGGCGCUGUCCUGGGCCCUGCACCGCUCUGUGUGUUCAUUGCACGAGUGUGGUAAGCACCUACUAUGUGCACAUGGCCGAGCCAAGCGCAGGGAACGGUAAACCAAGGGAGAACGGCCUUCCCGUGGGGAGCAGUGCAGAGGCUGGCGGGGGCGGGUGGUGGGGAGAGCUCAGGUUUCAGCUGAGGUCUAAGGACGGAGGGCAGGGAACCGCCUGAGCCCCACCUGGGAGGGGGAGCUCGGUGCCGGAGAGCAGUGCCAGGACCUGCGAUGGGAGAGGUGUGCAGCCCCGAGGGGUCACUGAUGAGGCAGACGGGUCAGUUGGGUUGACACUCAGAGGGUCCUCAGGGGCAGACGCUGAGACGGGGUUUGGGGUUUGGGGUGCAGAGUGAGUACUGGUGAUCAGCACCUGGGAAGGGGUGGGGAGGGUGCAGGGCCGGGCAGGGACUGUAGGGGCGGCCUGCGUUGGGCUUGGCUGGCACAGCCUUUGUGGCUUGCUUGGACCCAUAUGCAGCCGCCCAGGGACGGGAGACCCUGGUGAGGUGUCUGUGGUCCAGGCCCACCCUGAAGGAGCCGUGGGGCCGACUGCCGACCACGCCUGACAGCACGGCCUUCCAGGUCACCCGCUUCCCUCUAGGCUGGCCUGACCCAGCUCACCUCAUUCUCAACCUCACCAGUCAACACCGGUCAACAUCAGUCACAGAGCGUCUGAAAGGAGGAAUUUUCAUUUUCCUUUAAAGUGAAAAGGUAAAAACUGCAUUUACUAAACCAGGCCGGUGGGGGCUCUGUGAGCCCCUCUGCACAGGAAGCCUCAGAGACGCUGCAUGGUGUUCCCGGGGCAUCCUGGCCAAGGUGGGAGAACGCAGCCUCCGUGAGGACCCGCGGGAUGCCCUCGGGGGCCGCCUCCUGGUUCUCGUCUCCUCUGAAGUGCAGACGACGCUGGCCCACAUCCUUGUCGGGCAGAGGGGCUGCCGACUGGCCCCUGGCCAUGGCUCUUGCUGGGAGCCGUGUGGCCUGGGCUUGGACCCACAUCCACCUCUUGCUGGCUGCCUGCUCUUGCCAGUGGCUGAGCCUGGCUUCUCCCAUGACAGUGGCCGCAGACAGAGGGGACCCGUGCCACCAGGCAAGGUGUCUGGGGGCGAGGUGAGAGUUCUGCCAAAGCCGGAGCCAGGGUUGGACCCCCGGAGCUCGUUGGUCGGCCCCUGGAGGGAGAGUGGUGUGUUCACACCACGGCCCUGGUGGCCCAGCUCUGCCCAUCUUCAUCCCAGGUGGCAGCUGCUGCCCAGCUCUCUGGCCAGUGCCUCUUAGAUGGUGUCACCACCUGCAGAAGAAAACAGAAGUGCUGACUAAUAUUUGAUGAAGGCCUGCUAUGCCGGCGGCACCUGAUGUGGCAGGUGAAGUCCGGGGGGCAGCAGCCAAGGCUGCCUGUUCCUCAGUGUCCCUGCGCGUGAGACGGGCAUAGCUAACUCCUGUGGCCACCUUGAGGGUAAGAUGCUUCCUGCAGGUGCUUGGACCAGUAUCUGGCACGGGGCAGGUGCUCAGCGAAAGUUCCUUAUUAAUCCCUGUACCUUUCACUGUUGGAAGUAACUCAGGACAUUGGCUUGGUGGUUACACAAGCACUGUGGGAGAAGGUGGUGUAUCUGUUCACCCUGGGUCCCAGUGGCUGAGGCAGAGCCAGCCAUGCAGGAGGCAGGCGUCCAGUAUGUAUAUUGGAUGGAAGGUUGAAUUGCAUAAUAAAAUAUAUUAAAGAUU
rnacentral:lncRNA from 1 species